UACGUAGGGUCGAGCGUUGUCCGGAUUUAUUGGGCGUAAAGAGCUCGUAGGCGGCUUGUCGCGUCGACUGUGAAAACCCGUGGCUCAACCAUGUGGUCUGCAGUCGAUACGGGCAGGCUAGAAUUCGGUAGGGGAGACUGGAAUUCCUGGUGUAGCGGUGAAAUGCGCAGAUAUCAGGAGGAACACCGGUGGCGAAGGCGGGUCUCUGGGCCGAUAUUGACGCUGAGGAGCGAAAGCGUGGGGAGCGAACAGG
rnacentral:rRNA from 1 species